rnacentral:rRNA from 1 species
UACAUGGGGUGCAAACGUUGCUCGGAAUCAUUGGGCGUAAAGCGCGCGUAGGCGGUUAUCUAAGUCGGAUGUGAAAGCCCUCGGCUUAACUGAGGAAGUGCAUCCGAAACUGAAUAGCUAGAGUACGAAAGAGGGUCGCGGAAUUCCCGGUGUAGAGGUGAAAUUCGUAGAUAUCUGGAGGAACACCGGUGGCGAAGGCGGCAUCCUGGACCGACACUGACGCUGAGGAGCGAAAGCCAGGGGAGCAAACGGG